rnacentral:rRNA from 1 species
UACGUAGGGUGCAAGCGUUAAUCGGAAUUACUGGGCGUAAAGCGUGCGCAGGCGGUUAUGCAAGACAGAUGUGAAAUCCCCGGGCUCAACCUGGGAACUGCAUUUGUGACUGCAUGGCUAGAGUGCGGCAGAGGGGGAUGGAAUUCCGCGUGUAGCAGUGAAAUGCGUAGAUAUGCGGAGGAACACCGACGGCGAAGGCAAUCCCCUGGGCCUGCACUGACGCUCAUGCACGAAAGCGUGGGGAGCAAACAGG